UGGUCUUGUGGGUUCUUGCAACUAGACAGGCCCAUAAAAGCUGGAGAAGGAAUUAGAAACCAACAGAAAAACUGCAUCCACCUAUUCGAUCAACGUUUACUGAAUUCUUAUUUUGGACAAGGCCCUGUGCUAGUAGGUGGAAAUAUGAAGAUAAAUGACACAGGUCCUGCUCAGACCUAAUGGCAGAAAACUAGAAAGACAACCAAAAUGACCGAGAUUUUGGGAAUUCUAUUGCAUGAGGAUUGACCCAAAUUAACUGAAAUCCCGCAUUUUAUGUGGCAAGGGUUAAGUGAAAUGUCAAUAUUAGUUGCAAUGUAUUAAGUGACUUCUGAUUGCCAAACGCCAAAUAGAGGUAAAUAAAUGAUGUAACUGAGA